AGCAGAAUUUCUGUUAGACAAUCAAACAGAAUAUUCAGCAGAGUGAAUGGUAGCAAAAUGAAGCUAUUAUUUGUUGUAUAUAUAGCUUUUGGUUUUCUGGAGAUUGCUAACUGUCAAGAGGCCCCUCAACCAAGACAAGGUCCUUGUAACAAUAUCGGAGAUCUCAGACUAGUACAUAACAGAGGAAAGAAUUUUGGAGCAAUACAAGUUUGUGAAUAUGUACAUGAUGGUACAAUGUCAACUGAAUGGAGAUACGUUUCAAGUGAUGGAGCCUGGACACAAGCAGCUGCUAGACUGGCCUGCAGGCAACUAAAUCUUGGCUAUUUGGGUAAGAGUCAGGUAAUACCUUUAGUUAGUCUAAUCCUUCACUAAUCCUUUACAAGAUGCUACAUCAAGUACUUUGGAAUUGGCUAGCGAAGUAUCUGCAAGGGAAAUAGGACGUUGCUCUUGUGUAGGGACUGCAAAUCAACUGAGAGACUGCAUUGAAUACAAAAUACAACAAACUAUUGUGGCGACAGUGAACUGCAGUAAUAGUGCUAAUCAAGGCUGCAGAACUGAUGAAGCUAUGAGAUUAGUGGGUGGGUUCACAAACAGUGAAGGCAGAGAGAUAUGCCACAAUGGUCAAUGGGGGACAAUAUGCAACCAGGGAUGGACACACAGUAGAGCUGCUCAAGUGUGCAGUAGACUAGGGCUACCAACCUACAAUGCUACAAUACAUCGACUUAGUGAAGGAGCUGGUUUAGUAUACACAUACAACUGCCCAACAAUGGAUAGUGAUAUUUCUAAAUGUGUCCAAGAGUCCUUUUGUGCUCAUUCAAUGGAUGUAAGAGUGAAGUGUCUUCCUUUCACUGAUACUAGUUCAGUUCCCUCACAACCAAGUGAUGGAGCUACCACAGAGAGCAGUGUCACUCAGAGCACAGUUAUGAGUACUAGUGGGACAUUAGGAGCACUCAUUGGUCUAUUGGCUGCUGCUUUAGUGACUCUAGUGGUUGUUGUUGCUGGAUGGAUUAUGACGUGUGUUUAUUUACAGCGGAAAAUAAAUGAGAAAUGCAAAGACCACACCCACACAAUGUCUGCUUCUACGAGUGACCCCACCUUCCAACUCAACAACCCAAUGUAUAAUGGCAGCACCACUGUCCCACACACCACGUACAGCUCUCAUGGACCCUCCUAUGAGGUCAUUGACACUAACGAGGGGGAGGGACACAACUAUGAUGUCAUCAGUCAUACGGUGCAUCUAGACCACACCCAACUACCACACCCCCUGUGUUCAACGAGGAGUACAGUACGCUAGACACCAGCAGAGAGAAUCAUUAUCACACAUUAGAGAGGGGUGGUCAAUAUCAGACUGACCCCCAAGAUUACGAGGUGCCCGCCUCCCCCCCUCAGGGGGAAGAGUACUCUACACUGAAGCAUUGAUAGCCUACGUACUGACUUAACAAGACACAUUCAAUGCCUUUUUUUACAUGAAACUUUAUUAGCUAGUAUAGCAAUCACUGAAUGAACACACAAGCUGUUGUAUUAUAAGCACUGAUAAACUUGUUUUCAAUAACUGUAUGGACAACUCUGAUAUGUUAAUUGGUGUUUUAUUACAGUUCUAGUAAAUGCAUUCACUGU